rnacentral:lncRNA from 1 species
AUUUCCUAAUGCUUUUCAGGUUUUCCACCUCCUCUUGUUCCUCUUCUGCAGUAAUGUCCUUAGGUUCAAAGUAGACCAGUUUAACCAAUGUUCCACCGAUAUCCAUUCCAAACCAUGGGAACGGUGGCCUGUGCCGCCGUCCCGAGUCCAUCCUGCGGCGCAGCCUGCAUUUCUUGGCCGGGGAGCCGUGCCCGAGCGGCGGCGGCUCCGGGCGGAGCAGCAGCGGGUGCGGCGCCUCCCCGCAGCCGCCGUUGCUGAGCGUUGGGCCCGCGGGGUGGAAGCCGUUGUGCAGCAGCCCGCCGCGCAGCGAGCAGGAGGCGGCGGGCGGUGCCCCCGUGGCGGCCGCGGGCUGCGCGCGGAGCUGCUCCCCCAUGGCGGCGGCGUCUCUCUCCCCUUUGUCUCCCGGCUCAGCUCCGGCAGGGCGCGGCGGAGCCUCCGCUCACGCCGCCCGCAGCUCCGCGCGCCGGGGAUGCGGCGCCCGUCCGCCCGCUCCCCCCUCCCUUGCGGGGACGGCGCAG